ACUAGGUGGUGUUUGUGUCGUGUUACCCUCUCUUUCGUUUUCUUGUUAAGCUAGGAACGUGCACAGUUUUGCCUUCCCAAUUUCCAUGGUGACUGUGCAAGAUUGGGUGGGUAGCUCAGUGGUUACGGCGUCUGGUCACAAUGGGAGUUCAAGUCCCCACUGUGCCUUCCAGAAGAGUCAGCCUGUGUUUCCUUGGGCAAGCUGCACAGUCCCAGGGUGACCCCGGAAAAAGGGAAGGGUCAAGAACUUCUGAGUAUUCUCUACAUAAUAAACCCUGAAAAGAGUGCCGAUAAGUCAGAAUUGACUGGAUGGCACAACAUCGUUGUUGUCGUUGUUGUCGUUGUUGUCGUUGUCGUUGUCGUCGUUGUUGUUGUUUGGGGUUAUGAAGGAUCCCUACUUCAUUUGACACUGGGAAUAUGUUCUCUCCCCUUUUCUGCAGCUGAAGCCCUCAAAUGCAAUGUCUGCUUGGACUACAGAGCUGGAAAACCCUGUCUCAAAGGAAAGGGGGUCUGCACAGCUCGCCCUGGAGAGCAAUGCGUCUAUACCAGGAUCAUAAGCAGAGAGAAGAACUCUGCUACAAGAGGGUGCAAAAAAACAAGUGAGAACUGCAACAAAACAAUUAAGAAAGCUGGUACAAUAACAAUAACAACUUGCUGUAGCUACCCUGACUUUUGCAUGUAUCAAAUCAAGAAACCCGGAAAAUGAAACAAAAAUAAGAAUAUUUUUUUCUGUAUCUGAAAUACUCCGAGCUCAGUUGAUUUCUGAAUCACCACUGUUUUGCACACUCGUUUGCUUUUGCUGCUUUCUAGUUUUCUCUGUUUCCCCUUGUUUAUUGAUGUAUUCUUUUUACUCACAAUAAAAGCCUCAGACUUUAGAGUAAUCGUUUUGGA
rnacentral:lncRNA from 1 species